AUUGAACGCUGGCGGCAUGCUUUACACAUGCAAGUCGAACGGUAACAGGCCGCAAGGUGCUGACGAGUGGCGAACGGGUGAGUAAUGCAUCGGAACGUGCCCAGUCGUGGGGGAUAACGCAGCGAAAGCUGCGCUAAUACCGCAUACGAUCUAUGGAUGAAAGCGGGGGACCGUAAGGCCUCGCGCGAUUGGAGCGGCCGAUGUCGGAUGAGGUAGUUGGUGAGGUAAAGGCUCACCAAGCCAACGAUCUGUAGCUGGUCUGAGAGGACGACCAGCCACACUGGGACUGAGACACGGCCCAGACUCCUACGGGAGACAGCAGUGGGGAAUUUUGGACAAUGGGCGCAAGCCUGAUCCAGCAAUGCCGCGUGCAGGAAGAAGGCCUUCGGGUUGCAAACUGCUUUUGUACGGAACGAAACGGCUCUCACUAAUACUGGGGGCUAAUGACGGUACCGUAAGAAUAAGCACCGGCUAACUACGUGCCAGCAGCCGCCGUAACAC
rnacentral:rRNA from 1 species